AUUGAACGCUGGCGGCAGGCUUAACACAUGCAAGUCGAGCGAGCGGCGGACGGGUGAGUAAUGUCUGGGAAACUGCCUGAUGGAGGGGGAUAACUACUGGAAACGGUAGCUAAUACCGCAUACCAUCAGAUGCCCCCAUAUGGGAUUAGCUUGUCGGUGAGGUAACGGCACACCUAGGCGACGAUCCCUAUCUGGUCUGAUAGGAUGAUCAGCCACACUGGGAGUGAGACACGGCCAAGAAUCAUGCGGGAGGCAGCAGUGGGGAAAAUGGCACAAUGGGCGCAAGCCGGAUGCAGCCAUGCCGCGUGUAUGAAGAAGGCCUUCGGGUUGUAAAGUACUUUCAGGCGGGAGGCGUUACCGACAGAAGAAGCACCGGCUAACUCCGUGCCAGCAGCCGCGGUAAUAC
rnacentral:rRNA from 1 species